CCUUGGACCGCAUUAGCGUUUCAUUGGCGGGCUAGAACUGGUUGCUUAGGCAACCGGGCCUGAAUGGUCCGCCAGGAGGCGGGGCCUCUGGCCGCAUCAAAGAGGGAUUGGCUGGAUCUGAGCCGGUUGCUGAGGCAACCGGGUAGCGGUUUACCUGCGAGGGGGCGUGGCCUGCUUUAAAUCCCAGAAUUUAGCCACAGGGGUACGCAUCGCCACGACUGCCUUUCUGUAUUGGCGGCGCAGGCCGUGAGUGUACUCACCUGGCCAAGACUGCAGCAGGUCCUCGGAGAGGCAGACAGCUGCACUGUCUCGCUCAAAGGCAUCCCGAAGCUCUUUCUUCACUGCUGCUGAGCCACACAGACGCCCCAGAUUCAAGGAGAGGAGAAGGCCUCACCUCUGUCAGUGGAAGGCAUGUCAAGUGUUCAGAGUGGAUUUAAAGCUGAAAUCAGAUUAUGGCAUCUUCCUGCUGAAAUAGUCUGCCCAUGAUUGUUCAUUCCACCCAAAAUAAAAUUCAGAUUCCCAUCAUAA